rnacentral:rRNA from 1 species
GACGAACGCUGGCGGCGUGCUUAACACAUGCAAGUCGAGCGGAGCGGCGAACGGGUGAGUAACGGGUGAGUAACUGCCCCCCUCUCUGGGAUAACAGUUGGAAACGGCUGCUAAUACCGGAAAGUGGGGGAUGACUCGCGGCCUAUCAGCUUGUUGGUGGGGUAGUGGCCUACCAAGGCGACGCCGGGUAGCCGGCCUGGGAGGGCGACCGGCCACAGUGGGCUAGGGUACGGCCCAGAGGCCUACAGGAGGCAGAGGGGGGAAUCAUUGCACAAUGGGGGAAACGGUGAUACAGCAACGCGGGUGCGGGAUGACGGCCUUCGGGUUGGAAACGGCGUUCAGCCAUGACGCGGUAGUGGCAGAAGAAGCACCGGCUAACUACGUGCCAGCAGCCGCGGUAAUUC